GGGAAUAUUGCACAAUGGGGGAAACCCUGAUGCAGCGACGCCGCGUGAGCGAUGAAGUAUUUCGGUAUGUAAAGCUCUAUCAGCAGGGAAGAGAAAGGACAGUACCUAAGGAGGAAGCUCCGGCUAACUACGUGCCAGCAGCCGCGGUAAUACGUAGGGAGCGAGCGUUAUCUGGAAUUAUUGGGUGUAAAGGGUGCGUAGACGGGAAAGCAAGUUAGUUGUGAAAUCCCUCGGCUUAACUGAGGAACUGCAACUAAAACUACUUUUCUUGAGUGCAGGAGAGGUAAGUGGAAUUCCUAGUGUAGCGGUGAAAUGCGUAGAUAUUAGGAGGAACACCAGUGGCGAAGGCGACUUACUGGACUGUAACUGACGUUGAGGCACGAAAGUGUGGGGAGCAAACAG
rnacentral:rRNA from 1 species